UGGCUCAGCGGUUAAGAGCACUGGGUUUUCUUCCAGAGGACCUGAGUUCAAUUCCCAG
rnacentral:tRNA from 1 species